rnacentral:lncRNA from 1 species
GAUAACAUUGUUCCAGACGUACAACUGGAAUAAUCAAGAAGAAGAUUACUGAAGAAGAAGACGACAAAAGACGACAAAAGCUAUGGCAGACAAGAUAAAGUAAAAGAAUUAUUAGAUUCUUUUCUUUUCUUUUCUUUUCUUUUAAUGUUAUUUUAUUUUUUGUAAAAGAGUCGUAAAGUAAAUAGUUCUUUACUUUACAAAAGUAAGAGUCAGUCUCAUAAACAGUAAAGGUCGUUCAUGAAUAGUAAGAGUCAGUCUCAUGAACAGUAAAGGUCGUUCAUAAAUAGUAAGAGUCAAUCUCAUGAACAGUAAAGGUCGUUCAUGAACAGUAAGAGUCACUUUUGUAAUCUUUAAAUAAGCCUUUCAAUUAUCAAUAAAAAACAGGCUGCAACUUGGCAUCCAAAUCUCUCUCUUCUCUCCUCUCUUCUCUCUAAUAUAUUCAAAGAUAAAAUACAGGAAUGCUAUGGAUAAACAAGAAGAUAUGAAAGCUAUGGAUCAACAAGAAGAUAUCAAGAACUUACAAAAACAGGUAUGUCACACUAUAAUCAUGAGUAGCUAAAUUGAUAUAUUCCUGAUAAUCUCU